rnacentral:tRNA from 1 species
AAAGCCUUAGCUUAAUAAAAGUGUCUGAUUUGCAGUCAGGAGAUGUGGGUUUAAAUCUUACAGGUUUUG